AUUGAACGCUGGCGGCAGGCCUAACACAUGCAAGUCGAACGAGUGGCGGACGGGUGAGGAAUGUCUGGGAAACUGCCCGAAGGCGGGGGAUAACUACUGGAAACGGUAGCUAAUACCGCGUACCAUCGGAUGUGCCCAGAUUGGAUUAGCUUGUCGGUGAUGUAACGGUCCACCUAGGCGACGAUCCCUAGCUGGUCUGAGAGGAUGAACAGCGAGACUGGAACUGAGACAUGGUCUAGAUGACUACUGGAGGCAGCAGUGGGGAGUGUUGCACAAUGGGCGCAAGCCUGAUGAAGUCAUGCCGCGGGUAGGAAGAAGGCCUUCGGGUUGUAAAGUACUUUCAGCGGAGAGGCGGUAGCCGCAUAAGAAGCACCGGCUAACUCCGUGCCAGCCGCCGCGGUACUUC
rnacentral:rRNA from 1 species